UAUAACCUUUAUCUACUGGGGGUUCAUAGAAGGUGUUGCUUUUGUCUCUUGUUCCUCAUCCAGGGGUGAAGAUCAUCGGUGGCUACAGAGAGCAGACACGUGAGGAGUUUGGGAUCUUCAUCAAGCGGGUGUUACCGGGAGGGCUGGCUGCUCAGGAUGGGAGGCUUAGAACGGGCGACCUCAUUUUGGAAGUCAAUAAUAUGAGUUUAGGAGGAGUAACCAACGAGAGGCGGGAGGUCAUUGAGUUGAUGAAUAAGUAUGGCUCCAAAGCAGUUGUAAAAGGAAGCUCAGGAGGGUCCCUCCUACACAGCUAGCUACAGGUGAGUUUUCUGUUCCAG
rnacentral:lncRNA from 1 species